GAUGAACGCUGGCGGCGUGCUUAACACAUGCAAGUCGAACGGGAUCGGCUGGAGCUUGCUCCGGCCGUGAGAGUGGCGAACGGGUGAGUAAUGCGUGACCGACCUGCCCCAUACACCGGAAUAGCUCCUGGAAACGGGUGGUAAUGCCGGAUGCUCCAGUUGGAUGCAUGUCCUUCUGGGAAAGAUUCAUCGGUAUGGGAUGGGGUCGCGUCCUAUCAGCUUGAUGGCGGGGUAACGGCCCACCAUGGCUUCGACGGGUAGCCGGCCUGAGAGGGCGACCGGCCACAUUGGGACUGAGAUACGGCCCAGACUCCUACGGGAGGCAGCAGUGGGGAAUAUUGCACAAUGGGCGCAAGCCUGAUGCAGCGACGCCGCGUGCGGGAUGACGGCCUUCGGGUUGUAAACCGCUUUUGACUGGGAGCAAGCCCUU
rnacentral:rRNA from 1 species